CCGGCACGGGUGAGUAACACGUAUCCAACCUGCCGUCUACUCUUGGACAGCCUUCUGAAAGGAAGAUUAAUACAAGAUGGCAUCAUGAGUUCACAUGUUCACAUGAUUAAGGGUAUUCCGGUAGGCGAUGGGGAUGCGUUCCAUUAGAUAGUAGGCGGGGUAACGGCCCACCUAGUCUUCGAUGGAUAGGGGUUCUGAGAGGAAGGUCCCCCACAUUGGAACUGAGACACGGUCCAA
rnacentral:rRNA from 1 species